AUGCAAGAGUUGAUCCUCCUCCUGCUUCCCAUGACGCUCCUCGUCGUCAUCGGCAGCCUGCUCCGGCGUGCACCGCCGAUCAAGGAAAUGCGAACCCGCCUUGCCGCCGUCAAGUGGGGUCUCGUACGUGACUUCUCCGCUGCCUUGCGGCAGGAGGUCGUCGUCACGGACCGUGUCACCGCGCACCACCUCCUCGUCCGCGGCGGUGCCGGGGGCGCGUUCUGCAACCGUCCCCCGACGAGCGCGGCCAGCGCCGUCCUCUCCGGCCAGCGCCACCACAACAUAACCUCUGCGCCCUACGGCUCGCUCUGGCGUGCCACCCGCCGCAACCUCGUCUCCGAGGUCUUCCACCCGUCGUGCCUUCGCCUCUACGCCCCAGCCCGCCGCGCCGCGCUCUGCGGCCUCGUCGCGGACCUUCGUGAACAGUGCACGUCUAAGUCUAACGACGGCGUGGCCCUCGCGGCCGAGAGCAUGCACGCUGCUAUGUUCGGCCUGAACGCCACCAUGUGCUUCGGCGAUGGCGUCGACGCAGGCCUCGUCCGCGCCAUGGCCGACAACACGGAGGAGCUCAUCUGGUCCCUCGUUGGUGUGCGUGUCUUCGCCGCGCUCCCGGCGUUGACCAGGCUAAUCUACCGCGAACGGUGGAACAAGCUGGCCGCGCUCAGGCGGCAGCAGGAGGAGCUGUACCUCCCGCUCAUCAAUGCCCGACGCGGCAGGCGGCGUCGACCGUCCGGCGAAGCCCCAGCAUAUGUGGACACACUCAUCGAGCUCCUGGUCGCAGACGAAAGGAACUCCGCCUACGGUGGGAAUGCUUCCAGUCGCAAGCAAACGCUAACGGACGGUGAGCUUGUGGGGCUCUGCUCCGAGUUUCUUGGCGCCGGCACGGAGCCCCCGACCGCGGAGCUGCAGUGGAUCAUGGCGAACUUGGUGAAGCAUCUGGACGUCCAGGAGGCCGUCCGGACAGAGAUCGAGGCUGUGGUCGGGGUGGACGCCGAGGAGGUCGGCGAGGAAGACCUUGGUAGGCUGGAGUACCUCAAUGCUGUGCUCAUGGAGGCGCUCCGUCUGCACCCCAGCGUGCCCUCUGUGGUUAGGCAGGUGAUGCCCGAGGACCACGUUGUUCUGGAUGGCCGGCGCGUCACGACAGGGACGAUCGUGCAGUUCCAGUUGGAGUGUCUGGGGCGGGACAAGACGUCGUGGGCCGACCCAGAUGAGUUUCAGCCGGAGCGGUUCCUGGCUAGCGGCGGGGGCAAUGUCGUGAGCCUUGUGGCAGCUGCAGGAAGCGCCGGAGAAAUUAGGAUGAUGCCGUUUGGUGCGGGCAGGAGGAUGUGCCCUGGCAUGGGUGUCGCGAUGCUUCAGUUGGGGUACUUCGUUGCAAACCUCGUGAGGGAGUUUGAGUGGACGGAGGCGGAAGGCGACAUGGCUGUCGACCUCGAGCCACAUGUCGAGUUCUUGAACUUCAUGAGACGGCCGCUGCGUGCUAAGCUCACGCCACUGAAUAAGGGGGUUGGAGGUUCAGGAGCCUUUUCAGACCAAUGA
rnacentral:rRNA from 1 species